CUCCUUUCUUCUGCACAUUUGCUGCUCAUGCUGUGUCAAACCCAAUUAUCAUCAUUAUCUCAGUUCUGUCACACUGUAUAAAUACAUGUCUAAAUAAACCAAACAGCAUGACAAUUUUUGUCAAGGGAAACUACAAGGAAGGAUUUCAUUAGGGCUUUGCAGAGAAUGCCUUGCAGAAACCAGAAGCAAGCUAAGACUUAAGAGUCCAGGUCUUAGUACAGAUUGAAGUAGAGCUAUCUCCUCAAGCAGCACCUCCUAGUAGCAUUGGGUUCUCAGAUGGGCUGGAGGCAGGAUGACAGUGAUCUCACAUCCCAAAAGUAGGAUUCCUGAAUAUGUCAGAGUGAAAGCUCCAACAGAAAAAAAUCAGGCAAAUGGUAUCUUACAGUGACUCCUAAGCCCCAGAAACCCAGGCUUUCAAAGUCUCAGUCUAAAAUCAGGAUAUUAACCCCACAGACAUUGCACACAAAAGAGCUUGGAUGAAGAAACAUGAAGCAUUACUUAAAUGAGCUGCGGGUGAGGGGAUUACUGUUUGUAUGUAAAAGGAAACACAGGAGAGAUAUUUUAACUUACACCUUCCAGCUCCUCACUGUGGCUUGGAUCCAAUGCCUGUAAAAGUCAGUGGAAAGACUCUCAUUGACUUCAUGAGAACUGGAUCAGGUCCCACAUGAGUUACACCUACUUAGGCUCCCUGCCAUAGGUGGAGGUAGUCCUGAAAGAGAGCGCAAGUGAAAGGAGUUUAAUUUACAUGACCUUACAGUUCACUCUCCAUCUACAGCUGCUUUUUUUACUAAAGAGGAAACAUCUCCAGCACUGCAGAAGAGGAAGGCACAGUGUGGUUCAUACAGGUGUUUUUUCUUGUUGCUUGCAAGGAUAGCAUAUGGAUGUCUGUUGCAUGUGGGAGACCUGGGUCCAUUUCCCAACACUAUCACCUGCUUUCAUUGCUGACUUAAAUAUGAAAUGAAACAAGCAGCUAAUGGAGCACAUCAAAAAUCCAGCCAGCCUGAUAUCCUGCCUGUGAACCUAGGGAAGAAUGCAAGAAACAGGUGAUCAUUUUCCAGGCAACUCUACCAGAGAUUUGUUUUUU
rnacentral:lncRNA from 1 species